rnacentral:rRNA from 1 species
AAAUUGAAGAGUUUGAUCCUGGCUCAGAACGAACGCUGGCGGCGUGGCUAAGACAUGCAAGUCGAACGGACCAUAUGAUUGAGUAAUCGAGAUUAUGGUUAGUGGCGAAAGGGUGAGGAAUGAAUAGGUAACGUACCCCGAAGUCCGGGAUAGCGUCUGAAUGCUUCGGCAUUCUUCCGAAAGGGGCGGUAAUACCGGAUGAUAUCAUCGCAUUUGAGUGCGGUGAUCAAAGAUUUAUCGCUUUGGGAGCGGCCUAUUUCCUAUCAGCUUGUUGGUGAGGUAACGGCUCACCAAGGCUACGACGGGUAGCGGGACUGAGAGGUUGACCCGCCACAUCGGGACUGAGACACUGCCCGGACCUCCACGGAGGGCUGCAGUAACGAAUAU